CCCAAGUCGAGCGGUAACAGAGAGUAGUUUACUAUUCUGCUGACGAGCGGCGGACGGGUGAGUAAUGCCUAGGAAUCUGCCUAGUAGUGGGGGAUAACUUGCCGAAAGGUAAGCUAAUACCGCAUACGUCCUACGGGAGAAAGGAGGGGACCUUCGGGCCUUUCGCUAUUAGAUGAGCCUAGGUCGGAUUAGUUAGUUGGUGAGGUAAUGGCUCACCAAGACCGCGAUCCGUAACUGGUCUGAGAGGAUGAUCAGUCACACUGGAACUGAGACACGGUCCAGACUCCUACGGGAGGCAGCAGUGGGGAAUAUUGGACAAUUGGGGGAACCCUAAUCCAGCCAUGCCGCGUGUGUGAAGAAGGUCUUAGGAUUGUAAAGCACUUUAAGUUGGGAGGAAGAGCAGUUAACUAAUAAUUGACUGUUUUGACGUUACCGACAGAAUAAGCACCGGCUAACUUCGUGCCAGCAGCCGCGGUAAUACGAAGGGUGCAAGCGUUAAUCGGAAUUACUGGGCGUAAAGCGCGCGUAGGUGGUUCGUUAAGUUAGGAGUGAAAGCCCCGGGCUCAACCUUGGAAUUGCUUCUAAAACUGGCGAGCUAGAGUAUGGUAGAGGGUGGUGGAAUUUCCUGUGUAGCGGUGAAAUGCGUAGAUAUAGGAAGGAACAUCAGUGGCGAAGGCGACCACCUGGACUGAUA
rnacentral:rRNA from 1 species